rnacentral:rRNA from 1 species
AUGGGUGGGGACAAAAGGCAGAUGAUGGAGGACGCGGCGGAGGACAAGUUCCCGGAGGGGUUACGAGUCCUCGCCGUGGACGACGACUGCGUCUGCCUCAAGGUCCUAGAGAACCUCUUGCGCGGCUGCAAAUACCACGCAACGACUGUGACGGAUGCCAAGACAGGGCUGAAGAUUCUCAGGGCGGGGAAGGAGAAGUUCGACGUCGUCAUCACCGACGUGCGCAUGCAGGACAUGGACGGCUUCAAGCUCCUUGAGCGCAUCCGCCUCGAGAUGGAUCUGCCCGUCAUCAUGCUAUCCGAAGAUUGCGACAAGAAGGCUGUGAUGAAGGGGAUAAAUCAUGGGGCGUGUGACUAUUUGGUGAAGCCAAUGCAUACCAACGAGCUAAAAAACAUAUGGCAGCAUGUUCGAAGCAAGAGAAAAUCCGAAGCAAUAAGGCACAUCAGCGGUGAUGAUGAUGACGAUCAGAGAGCACAGCUUGGGACUGCUGCCAAGAGCAAUGAUGGAGCUAAUACUGAUGAGAACAAAGAGAACACACAGGCAUCCACUACCCCGAAGAAGCCAAGAGUGCGAUGGACAAUUGAGAUGCAUACAAAGUUUAUGGAAGCUAUCAACCAGAUCGGCCUUGAUAGGGCUACUCCAAAAAAGAUUAUGGAGAUGAUGAAUGUCGAUUGCCUCACUAGGCAAAACGUAUCGAGUCAUCUACAGAAGUAUAAAUUGUACUUGAAAAGAGUCAACCCAAACCCACUUGGUGAUGCAUGUGUAAGAUGGAACGAUUUCAUGAACAUUCAGGAGAGUUUUAUGCAUAACCAUGAACAUGAAAGGUGGGGUGUGUCCUCAGGUCGCAUCGCCUCCUGGAGUCCCAACCAUUACGGUGAAGCGGGUCACUUAGGUCAGCAUAGAAACACCCAGAGCAGUAUGUCCAUGGGUUCAUUAAUCAAUGGUGCUAGAAUGCCGGUGUAUUUGGUUCCACAGACACCCUAUAUGGGAAGAUUUUCUGGCUUCAAUGAGCACAUAGUUCCAUUCAUCAUACCUGGCAACCCAAGCUCUAUACUGAUAUUGAAUGCAAAUGACAAUGUUCCAAUGGCAGCACCUCAGUUCGUUUACAGUGACCCCAUCACUACCUUAGUGGCAGGCUUCAGUGAGCAGAUGGCGCCAUUCAACAUAGAAAGCAACAUGGGCUCGGUUGGAAUGAUGUUAAAUGGCAAGUCUACACAUGGUACAGGAAGAACAUCAGUGGGAGAGGCUGCUAUGGUUAACUACGGAAGAACUAGUUCUGCACUUUCCAACCAUCAAACAGAUGGUUUCGUCCCAUUGACCGAGAUGCAUGAUGUCGGUUAUGCAUCUGGCAUUCUCCAUGUGCAAGAAGGAACAAUGGAUCAGCAAGUGCUUGGUGGUCAACUGAAUGGCAUCAAUGCCUUGUCAUCGGGUGGUAUUUCCAACCUUCUCAAUGAAGAUUUCAUUGGAGAGGAUGCUGUCAUGGAUGGAUAA